rnacentral:rRNA from 1 species
CCUACGGGUGGCCGCAGUGAGGAAUAUUGGUCAAUGGCCGGAAGGCUGAACCAGCCAAGCCGCGUGAAUGACGAAGGUGCCAAGCAUUGUAAACUUCUUUUGUCAAGGGACAAAAUCAGGCUCGAGAGCCUGACCGAGGGUACUUGAAGAAAAAGCAUCGGCAAACUCCGUGCCAGCAGACGCGGUAAUACGGAGGAUGCGAUCGUUAUCCGGAUUGGUUGGGUUUAAAGGGUGCGUAGGCGGGCUUUUAAGUCAUCGGUAAACGCCCGGGGUGCACCCUCGGCGAGCCGUUGAAACUGGCUGUCUUGAGAUGUCGAGAGGUAUGCGGAAUGCGAAGUGUAGCGGUGAAAUGAUUAGAUAUUGCGCAGAACUCCGAUUGCGAAGGCAGCAUCCCGGCG